rnacentral:rRNA from 1 species
AAUCAACGCUGGCGGCGUGCCUCAGACAUGCAAGUCGAACGCGAAAGUCCCCUUCGGGGGAUGAGUAGAGUGGCGCACGGGUGAGUAACACGUAGGUAAUCUACCUUCGGGUGGGGAAUAACAACCGGAAACGGUUGCUAAUACCGCAUAAUGCAGCGGCACCUAAUGGUGACAGUUGUUAAAGCGGGGGAUCGCAAGACCUCGCGCCUGAAGAGGAGCCUGCGGCGGAUUAGCUAGUUGGCAGGGUAACGGCCUACCAAGGCGACGAUCCGUAGCCGGCCUGAGAGGGCGGUCGGCCACACUGACACUGACAUACGGGUCAGACUCCUACGGGAGGCAGCAGUCGGGAAUUUUGGGCAAUGGGCGAAAGCCUGACCCAGCUACGCCGCGUGAAGGAUGAAAUCCCUCGGGAUGUAAACUUCGCAAGAACGGGGAGAAUAAGCCGGUGUCAACACCACCGGCGAUGACGGUACCGUUUGUAAGCUCCGGCUAACUCCGUGCCAGCAGCCGCGGUAAUAC